AGCCCCCAAAGGGCUGGCAGCCCUCACGUCCCUUGGGAUCUGCGGGAGGAGCUGUGCCUGCAGCGUGCCGAACACACGUCCCGGUGUAGGCACCGGGGUACCGGGACAGCGCUGGCACAGACACGGCUGAAGCGCUGCCUGUGGCCCCGCAGCCAGGGGCUGCUCUGAACAGGCACACGGAGAUACCUCAGCCCGGACAGACACCACCGACAGCCCAGAAGGACCCCAAGGAGCAGCGGGCAUUGCCUGGAAUGGAGGCACGGACCGUUUGCAGAGGGGCUCAGACAGCAGUUCCCAUUUCUGACCUCCCAGAGUUCCCACGCAGCUCCCAGAUAUUGAAUCCCAAGCAGUAUACCUGGGAGAUGCCUCAAAAUCAGAGGUUCAAGCGGGAUGAAGUUUGGAACUUCCCAGGGAGCCAGCUGAAGUGCAGAAGUGAAGGAAAACUUUUGCAGGUGGGUGAGGCCGCUGCAAUGUCACCUGAAUCGGGAGGUGAGGCCGCUGCAAUGUCACCUGGAUCGGGAGGUGAGGCCGCUGCAAUGCCGGCUGAAUCGGGAGGUGAGGCCGCUGGAAUGUCACCUGGAUCGGGAGUGAGAGGAACAUGAACUCACAGCCACCGAGGCCUGACGGGUUCCUGCAGUGAGAGCUCAGCGCGCGUCCACAGAGAGAGAGAGGGGAGAUGUGGGAAUUGGAAAACCAGAAACUUCCAGAGCCACCCAAAGAUUGGAUCUGCAGCCUGGGAAGAAGCUUGGAUUGAUGCAGAAAUACAAUACACAGGCAUUAACAGGAAAAUAAUACAUAAAGCAGGUAGAGCUGUGAUGGUUUCUAAUUAAUGGCCAAUCACACUCAGCUGGCUCACACUCUCUGUGCCAGCCACAAGCCUUUGUUAUUCAUUCCUUCCUUUUCUACUCUUAGCUGGCCUGCUGAUGAGAUCCUUUCUUCUAUUCUUUCAGUAUAGUUUAAUGUGACACAUACCAUAAAAUAAUAAAUCAGCCCUGUGACCCAUGGA